UUUACUCAGGAGAGUCUCUUUGUAAAAAAGAGCGCCGAAGGUGUAAGCGGAUGUCUGUUCCUAUCUUACAGUCAUACCGCGAGUCUCUCAGGCAAAAGGAUGGAGGUAUAA
rnacentral:ncRNA from 1 species